UGAGGAAUAUUGGUCAAUGGGCGAGAGCCUGAACCAGCCAAGUAGCGUGCAGGACGACGGCCCUAUGGGUUGUAAACUGCUUUUAUGUGGGGAUAAAGUGCGUGACGUGUCAUGCAUUGCAGGUACCACAUGAAUAAGGACCGGCUAAUUCCGUGCCAGCAGCCGCGGUAAUACGGAAGGUCCGGGCGUUAUCCGGAUUUAUUGGGUUUAAAGGGAGCGUAGGCUGUCUAUUAAGCGUGUUGUGAGAUUUACCGGCUCAACCGGUGGCUUGCAGCGCGAACUGGUCGACUUGAGUAUGCAGGAAGUAGGCGGAAUUCAUGGUGUAGCGGUGAAAUGCUUAGAUAUCAUGACGAACUCCGAUUGCGCAGGCAGCUUACUGUAGCAUAACUGACGCUGAUGCUCGAAAGUGCGGGUAUCAAACAGG
rnacentral:rRNA from 1 species